UGAGAUAGCAGUUGCAGUGUAAGGAUGCAGAAAGAGAUUGUCAUGCUUGAAAUUAUGUGCCUGCUUCAAUCAUUGGACGGUGGAAGAAAGCAUGCAGCUGUUUGAAUGAUUGAAAGACAGCUGAUCUGCAUCAAGAGAGAAAUGGCAUCGGAUGAGAAGCUCAGCCAGUGUUUGGUUUCAUACCAGUGUCUUUCCUCUUCAUCUGUGACAAACUGUGAUUCAAGCUCCUCUGAGUUGAUCAUUCCUCAGACAGUUGCAAACACUACCUUGUUGUCAUGGGCGGAGACUAUACAAUGCAUGAUCCUUUGCCUUUCUAGGCAUUGUGUGAGUGUUCACUGUGGUGUUUGGUGAGGUUAAGCCGUGUUUCAGUAUUUGUGAGAUGUUAGAUCUGAAUUUAUGAGGAACCUUGCACCAACAGGUGAAAUUAUAGUUUCUGAAGU